rnacentral:rRNA from 1 species
AUUGAACGCUGGCGGCAGGCCUAACACAUGCAAGUCGAGCGGCAGCGGGAAAGUAGCUUGCUACUUUUGCCGGCGAGCGGCGGACGGGUGAGUAAUGCCUGGGAAAUUGCCCAGUCGAGGGGGAUAACAGUUGGAAACGACUGCUAAUACCGCAUACGCCCUACGGGGGAAAGCAGGGGACCUUCGGGCCUUGCGCGAUUGGAUAUGCCCAGGUGGGAUUAACUAGUUGGUGAGGUAAUGGCUCACCAAGGCGACGAUCCCUAGCUGGUCUGAGAGGAUGAUCAGCCACACUGGAACUGAGACACGGUCCAGACUCCUACGGGAGGCAGCAGUGGGGAAUAUUGCACAAUGGGGGAAACCCUGAUGCAGCCAUGCCGCGUGUGUGAAGAAGGCCUUCGGGUUGUAAAGCACUUUCAGCGAGGAGGAAAGGUUGGUGCCUAAUACGUAUCAACUGUGACGUUACUCGCAGAAGAAGCACCGGCUAACUCCGUGCCAGCCGCCGCGGUAACAC